rnacentral:rRNA from 1 species
GCCUGGCCCUAAAUCUUGAUGCUCUAUAUAACCAAAGCAUCCGCCUGAGAACUACGAGCACAAACGCUUAAAACUCUAAGGACUUGGCGGUGCCCCAAACCCACCUAGAGGAGCCUGUUCUGUAAUCGAUAACCCACGAUACACCCGACCACUUCUUGCCAAAAACAGCCUACAUACCGCCGUCGCCAGCUCACCUCUUCUGAGAGUACCACAGUGAGCACAACCGCUCUAACCCCGCUAACAAGACAGGUCAAGGUAUAGCCCAUGAAGUGGAAGAAAUGGGCUACAUUUUCUAACUUAGAAAAUCUCACGAAAAGGGGUAUGAAACAACCCCUGGAAGGUGGAUUUAGCAGUAAAGCGGGACAAUAUAGCCCCCUUUAAGCCGGCUCUGGGGCAC